AUACCAUGAUGAUGGAAAACUUUAGUCAAUUCAUUUAAUCUUUCCCAUGCUUCAGCAAUUGACUCCUCAUUCUUUUGACUAAAGUUCUGGAUGAAGUGCCUAGAGUGC
rfam:Lupinus angustifolius cultivar Tanjil contig_26475, whole genome shotgun sequence.